UUGCGUGUGGCCUAGUGGUGAACGCGCCUGUCUUUCAAUUUUUAGGUCCCGGGUUCGAACCCCACCGGGGUCAAA